rnacentral:rRNA from 1 species
UACGGGGGGGAGCAAGCGUUGUUCGGAAUUACUGGGCGUAAAGCGCGCGCAGGCGGUCUUCCAAGUCAGUGGUGAAAGGCCCGGAGCUCAACUCCGGAACUGCCAUUGAAACUGUUAGACUUGAGGAUGAGAGAGGUGAGUGGAAUUCCCAGUGUAGAGGUGAAAUUCGUAGAUAUUGGGAAGAACACCGGUGGCGAAGGCGGCUCACUGGCUCAUUACUGACGCUCAGGCGCGAUAGCGUGGGGAGUCAAACAGG